rnacentral:rRNA from 1 species
ACUCCUACGGGAGGCAGCAGUAGGGAAUCUUCCACAAUGGGCGCAAGCCUGAUGGAGCAACACCGCGUGAGUGAAGAAGGGUUUCGGCUCGUAAAGCUCUGUCGUUAAAGAAGAACACGUAUGAGAGUAACUGUUCAUACGUUGACGGUAUUUAACCAGAAAGUCACGGCUAACUACGUGCCAGCAGCCGCGGUAAUACGUAGGUGGCAAGCGUUAUCCGGAUUUAUUGGGCGUAAAGAGAGUGCAGGCGGUUUUCUAAGUCUGAUGUGAAAGCCUUCGGCUUAACCGGAGAAGUGCAUCGGAAACUGGAUAACUUGAGUGCAGAAGAGGGUAGUGGAACUCCAUGUGUAGCGGUGGAAUGCGUAGAUAUAUGGAAGAACACCAGUGGCGAAGGCGGCUACCUGGUCUGCAACUGACGCUGAGACUCGAAAGCAUGGGUAGCGAACAGGAUUAGAUACCCUGGUAGGCACGUGA